ensembl:lncRNA
GAAUGUGUUAGAUUUGUGCUCCAAAGGAUCUGAGGAAUGGCAGCUGCUUAUCCAGACAUCUCUCCCACCCCAUCAAGACAUCCGGGCUAAGGAACAUUUCAGAGAACAUGUACCAUCUACAGACCAGAUUCACACUUCUCUGAUCACCACUCACUCCUCUUGACAAAUAAAAGGUUUUGGCACGUCAACAAAACCAUCAAAAGGAAGCAACUCAGGAUAUGGUAGACCUUCUGGGCUGCAAGUGCACAUUGCUUGCUCAUGUUGAGGUUUUCAUCAACGAACACCCCCAAAUCCUUCUCCUUAGGGCUGCUCUCAAGCCAUUCUCUGCCCAGCCUGUAUUUUUCUUGGCUGUGAAAUUUUGUGAGCAAAGUUGUCUCAAAGCUUCUCAGCAGGUAAAUGACAACUCAAUCUAGUCACCCCAGCAAUAAUAAGAAAAGAAGAGCUCUUCACCACACAGCCUCAUCAUCCUGGCUGCUGGAGCAGCCCAAAGCUCAUGCUGUGGCUGCCGAGCUGUUAUGCAGCACACUCAGCUCCAUUGUGUAUCCUCCUGCCAAGAGUCAGGAGUGUAAAAAGGUCAUGUGACAGAAAAGGAGAGAAGAGAAAGCAAGCAAUUAUUCCUCUGAAAGCUUGCUCUUGACUGACCUGUUGAUGCUGCUUGCCUACACUCUGCAACAAGAUAGAGAGCUGAACUAGUCAUCAUGGAAAGCUCUAGUCUAAAGACAUAUAUAGGUCUUUUUCAAAAAUGUUAUAGCCAACAGUACUACAAUAACUAUUUUAUGUUAAAGUCUAUGUCUGAAAAUUUCUGCCCGUUUCCAGUACUAUUAAGUAGGAGUUAAUCUCUCUCCUCAGAUUUGAAAUCCAUGUGCGAAGAGACUCUUAUGAACUCCUCUAACUGAAGAGACAUUUUUUUUAUUAAUCAGAGAGUGACAUGGGUUGAAAAGGACCACAAUGGUCAUCUAGUUUCAAGAUAAAAACUGUUCGUAGAUAACGAGAGCCCCCGUUUCCUUUUCAACCGUCUGGCUCGUCUCUGUUGCCGGUGCUGUAUCAUUCCAGCUGGAGUGGCGGCCCCUGCCUGCCUGCCUGCCUGCCUCAGCUGGCUGGCUGGAGUUGCAGCCCCUCCCUAUCUGCCUUGGCAGACUGGCUGGAGUCAAGGCCCCUGCCUGCCUGCCUCAGCUGGCUGACUGGAGUCCUAACCCUUGCCUGCCUGCCUCUGUUAGCUGGCUGUCUUGUAUCACAGUUAGUGUUCUGCUGUCAGGAUCCCUGUGUUUACAGCAGUUUUUUGGGAUCUGGCUUGUGAUAGCAUAAGGCCAUGGCACUGUGACCCUAGAAAUGGCCCAGGACAACAAAAACAUGGCUGUGUUGGGUGUGGGGAGGCUAUGGCCUGAGAUUUGCCCUACUUGUCACCAGUGGGAGUCUGCAGGGCUCCAUUUUAAGGCCAUUUCUUUUCAUGUUUAGACUGUCGAUUCCAAUAAAGAUCUGGAGGUUCUAUUAAGUUAAUUUUUGGAUGAUGCUAAGCUGGGAAGAGUGUUGACUCUAUUGAGGGCAGAGAAGCCUUGCACCAAGAUCUGGACAAAUUUGAGGAUGAUCCCCAUCUGCAUGAAGAAGAGCAGGUGCUGGGUUCUGCACCUGGGAUGGGGAGCUCCCGGCUAUAUGUACAGACUGGGGGCGAGGGUCUGGAGAGCAGCCCCACAAAGAGAUCUGGGUGUUCAGCUUGGUGACAACUUGAAUCUGAGCUGGCAGUGUGCCCUGGCAGCCAGAAGGGCCAACUGUACCCUGGGUACACCAGGUCCAGCACUGCCGGUGAAGGAAGUGGUUGUCCCAUUCUGCUCUGUGCAGUGCAGCCGCACCUCCAGCACUGGGUGCAGGUUUGGGUGCUGCUACAUAAGAAGGACAUAAAGCUAUUAGGAAGUCCGAAGGAGGGCUGCAGAGAUGGGGAAGGUUCUGAGGGCGCAGUGUGUGAGGAGUGGCUGCAGCCCCCGGGUUUGCUCAGCCCAGAGCAGAGGAGCUGAUGGGAGGCCUCAUGGUGGCUGCAGCUCCUCACAGGGUGCGGAGGGGCAGCGCUGAGCUCUGCUCUCUGGGGACAGCAACAGGGCCCAAGGGAACGGC